GAGUUGCGAACGGGUGAGUAACGCGUAGGUAACCUGCCUAUUAGAGGGGGAUAACUAUUGGAAACGAUAGCUAAUACCGCAUAACAGUAUGUAACACAUGUUAGAUGCUUGAAAGAUGCAAUUGCAUCGCUAGUAGAUGGACCUGCGUUGUAUUAGCUAGUAGGUAGGGUAAUGGCCUACCUAGGCAACGAUACAUAGCCGACCUGAGAGGGUGAUCGGCCACACUGGGACUGAGACACGGCCCAGACUCCUACGGGAGGCAGCAGUAGGGAAUCUUCGGCAAUGGGGGGAACCCUGACCGAGCAACGCCGCGUGAGUGAAGAAGGUUUUCGAAUCGUAAAGCUCUGUUGUUAAGGAAGAACGAGUGUGAGAAUGGAAAGUUCAUACUGUGACGGUACUUAACCAGAAAGGGACGGCUAACUACGUGCCAGCAGCCGCGGUAAUACGUAGGUCCCGAGCGUUGUCCGGAUUUAUUGGGCGUAAAGCGAGCGCAGGCGGUUAGAAAAGUCUGAAGUGAAAGGCAGUGGCUCAACCAUUGUAGGCUUUGGAAACUGUUUAACUUGAGUGCAGAAGGGGAGAGUGGAAUUCCAUGUGUAGCGGUGAAAUGCGUAGAUAUAUGGAGGAACACCGGUGGCGAAAGCGGCUCUCUGGUCUGUAACUGACGCUGAGGCUCGAAAGCGUGGGGAGCGAACAGGAUUAGAUACCCUGGUAGUCCACGCCGUAAACGAUGAGUGCUAGGUGUUAGGUCCUUUCCGGGACUUAGUGCCGCAGCUAACGCAUUAAGCACUCCGCCUGGGGAGUACGACCGCAAGGUUGAAACUCAAAGGAAUUGACGGGGGCCCGCACAAGCGGUGGAGCAUGUGGUUUAAUUCGAAGCAACGCGAAGAACCUUACCAGGUCUUGACAUCCCUCUGACCACUCUAGAGAUAGAGUUUCCCUUCGGGGCAGAGGUGACAGGUGGUGCAUGGUUGUCGUCAGCUCGUGUCGUGAGAUGUUGGGUUAAGUCCCGCAACGAGCGCAACCCUUAUUGUUAGUUGCCAUCAUUGAGUUGGGCACUCUAGCGAGACUGCCGGUAAUAAACCGGAGGAAGGUGGGGAUGACGUCAAAUCAUCAUGCCCCUUAUGACCUGGGCUACACACGUGCUACAAUGGCUGGUACAACGAGUCGCAAGCCGGUGACGGCAAGCUAAUCUCUGAAAGCCAGUCUCAGUUCGGAUUGUAGGCUGCAACUCGCCUACAUGAAGUCGGAAUC
rnacentral:rRNA from 1 species